GACGAACGCUGGCGGCGUGCUUAACACAUGCAAGUCGAACGGAAAGGCCCUGCUUUUGUGGGGUGCUCGAGUGGCGAACGGGUGAGUAACACGUGAGUAACCUGCCCUUGACUUUGGGAUAACUUCAGGAAACUGGGGCUAAUACCGGAUAGGAGCUCCUGCUGCAUGGUGGGGGUUGGAAAGUGUCGGCGGUUGGGGAUGGUCUCGCGGCUUAUCAGCUUGUUGGUGGGGUAGUGGCUUAACAAGGCUUUGACGGGUAGCCGGCCUGAGAGGGUGACCGGCCACAGUGGGACUGGGGUACGGCCCAGACGCCUACGGGAGGCAGGAGUGAGGAAUAGUGCACGAUGGGCGGAAGCCUGAUGCAGCAACGCCGGGUGCGGGAUGACGGCCUUCGGGGUGUAAACCGCUUUCGCCUGUGACGAAGCGUGAGUGACGGUAAUGGGUAAAGAAGCACCGGCUAACUACGU
rnacentral:rRNA from 1 species